rnacentral:rRNA from 1 species
GAUGAACGCUAGCGGCGGGCUUAAUACAUGCAAGUCAAGGGGUAGCAAUACACCGGCGUACGGGUGCGCAACGCGUAUGGAACCUGCCCUUAUCUGGGGGAUAACUCGGGGAAACUCGAGCUAAUACCGCAUAAGAUAGUAGAGUGGCAUCACUCAGCUAUUAAAGAUUUAUCGGAUAAGGAUGGCCAUGCGUAAGAUUAGAUAGUUGGCGAGGUAACGGCUCACCAAGUCUACGAUCUUUAGGGGCUCUGAGAGGAGAAUCCCCCACACUGGCACUGAGAUACGGGCCAGACUCCUACGGGAGGCAGCAGUAGGGAAUAUUGGGCAAUGGGCGGAAGCCUGACCCAGCCACGCCGCGUGCAGGAAGACGGCCCUCUGGGUUGUAAACUGCUUUUAACUGGGAAGAAAGCAGCUCAUGCGUGAGAAUUUGACGGUACCAGUUGAAUAAGCCACGGCUAACUACGUGCCAGCCGCCGCAGUAACAC